CAGCCGCCGCGGUAAUACGAAGGGGGCUAGCGUUGUUCGGAAUUACUGGGCGUAAAGCGCACGUAGGCGGAUCGAUCAGUCAGGGGUGAAAUCCCAGGGCUCAACCCUGGAACUGCCUUUGAUACUGUCGAUCUGGAGUAUGGAAGAGGUGAGUGGAAUUCCGAGUGUAGAGGUGAAAUUCGUAGAUAUUCGGAGGAACACCAGUGGCGAAGGCGGCUCACUGGUCCAUUACUGACGCUGAGGUGCGAAAGCGUGGGGAGCAAACAGGAUUAGAUACCCCAGUAGUCCCUGUCUCUUAUAC
rnacentral:rRNA from 1 species